CUCCAUUAGGAAAGAAAUCCUGGAUGGGAAGGACGUGUGUCUGGUGUCAUUGCUUAUAGCCUCCCAAGACGUACUGGAGAACAGGGCUUAUAACUUUGGGGAUAUUUCGGUGGUUCUUAAAACCAGAGACCCUAGGCUCAAUAAAAAAUUAUCUAUUCCCAAUUUCGUUUUAUCUUUUGGGAUAUACCGUGAUGUCAUCUGCUCGGU